rnacentral:rRNA from 1 species
CCUACGGGCGGCAGCAGUGGGGAAUAUUGCACAAUGGGGGAAACCCUGAUGCAGCGACGCCGCGUGAGUGAAGAAGUAUUUCGGUAUGUAAAGCUCUAUCAGCAGGGAAGAAAUAGCGACCUUUGGGUUGCCAGACGGUACCUGAUUGAGAAGCCCCGGCUAACUACGUGCCAGCAGCCGCGGUAAUACGUAGGGGGCAAGCGUUAUCCGGAUGUACUGGGUGUAAAGGGAGCGUAGACGGCAGCGCAAGUCUGAAGUGAAAUGCCGGGGCUUAACCCCGGAACUGCGUGGGAAACUGUGCAGCUAGAGGGCAGGAGAGGUAAGUGGAAUGCCUAGUGUAGCGGUGAAAUGCGUAGAUAUUAGGAGGAACACCAGUGGCGAAGGCGGCUUACUGGACUGUAACUGACGUUGAGGCUCGAAAGCGUGGGGAGCAAACAGGAUUAGAUACCCUGGUAGUC